rnacentral:rRNA from 1 species
UGAUACCUACGGGGGGCAGCAGUGGGGAAUAUUGGGCAAUGGAGGAAACUCUUACCCAGCAAUGCCGCGUGAAUGAAGAAGGUCUUCGGGUUGUAAAGUUCUUUAAUUGGGGACGAAAAAAAUGACGGUACCCAAGGAAUAAGCCCCGGCUAACUACGUGCCAGCAGCCGCGGUAAUACGUAGGGGGCAAGCGUUGUUCGGAAUGACUGGGCAUAAAGGGUGCGUAGGCGGUGUAGCAAGUUAGAAGUGAAAUACCUAGAGCUUAACUCAGGUGUUGCUUCUAAAACUGCUAUACUUGAGUGCAG